rnacentral:lncRNA from 1 species
GUUAUCGUGUCGUGUUGAUAUCGUUUUGACCCGUUAGGUCACCCAUUAAGCCAUCGUGUUGUGUCGUGUGAAUUCGUGAAUACUCGUUAACCCAUUAAGCUCAAAGACAUUUUUAUAAAUUUAUCCCUUUCUUUUCUUUUUUCUUUUUUUUUCUUCUUCCUCUUCUCUUUCUUCUCUUUAGUCUCUUCCUCCCCAAUUCCCCUGAUUCUCUCACUACUCUCUCUCUCUUCAAAACCCAGCAACUUUUGAGCUUUCUUCUUCUCUCAACUUGAGAGUCUUAAGCAGCCUCCCAACCACCAUGAGCCAUCUCAGCCACUUCCCCCUUCUAUCUCCCUCCCUCACCGAUUGAUCCCACCUAUUCCCUUACUUUCUCCGAUGACUCUUCCUGCUCCACUCCGACCAUCUCCGCUGCUCAAACCUUUGAGGGCCAUUCACAGGGCAUCUCCAAUCUCACCUUUGAGCUCUAUCGAUUGUCUUGAAUUUUUUAUUUAUAUAUAUAUAAUUUUUUUUUUUGCACUAGUUGAUUUUUUAAUUGUUUAAAAUUUCUGUUUUUGUUAUUAUUUUGUUUUUUUUAUUUUAUAAUUCUUAACAAAUUAUCGUGUUGUGUCGUGUGAUUCGCGAAUUGUAAUGGGUCGUGUUCGUGUUUGACAUUUUCAACCCGUUUUCUUAUCGUGUUGUGUCGUGUCAACCCAUUAAGAAAAGCGGGUUAACAUGAAAACGACACCAACACUGAAAAAACGACAUGAAUGACAGGUCUAAUUUUCUUCCCCCC